AGAGUUUGAUCAUGGCUCAGAAUCAACGCUGGCGGCGUGCCUCAGACAUGCAAGUCGAACGAUUAAAGCUCCCUUCGGGGAGUGCAUAAAGUGGCGCACGGGUGAGUAACACGUAAGUAAUCUACCCUCGAGUGGGGAAUAACAACCGGAAACGGUUGCUAAUACCGCAUAAUGCAGCGGCACCGCAAGGUGACAGUUGUUAAAGAUUUAUUGCUUGAGGAGGAGCUUGCGGCAGAUUAGCUUGUUGGUAAGGUAACGGCUUACCAAGGCUACGAUCUGUAUCCGGUCUAAGAGGACGGUCGGACACACUGACACUGAAUAACGGGUCAGACUCCUACGGGAGGCAGCAGUCGGGAAUUUUGGGCAAUGGGGGAAACCCUGACCCAGCAACGCCGCGUGAAGGAUGAAGUAUUUCGGUAUGUAAACUUCGAAAGAAUAGGAAGAAUUAAUGACGGUACUAUUUAUAAGGUCCGGCUAACUACGUGCCAGCAGCCGCGGUAAUAC
rnacentral:rRNA from 1 species